AUCUUUUUAGUAUAAAAAGUAUAAUUGGCUUCCAACCAAAAGGUAAAAAUUUUAAAAGAUA
rnacentral:tRNA from 1 species